GUACCUUGGUCCACCAACAAAACUUUGUUCUAAAUGUAAGGCUGUCAUGUGGAACGAGGAACGGAACAACAAAGGUGCAAAAUAUAGCGAUCCGUCUUUCUCAAUCUGUUGUAGGAAUGGUCAAGUAGAGCUGGAACCCGAAAAACAACCACCUCCUUAUUUGGCAGAGCUCUUAUCUGGUGAAAUAUAUUACAGAUUCAAAUUGACUAUAAAAAUGUUACUUUCUCUUCCCCGAUGUAGAAAAAUUAUUCUUGAAAAUCACUGCUUCUUAUUACUUUGGUGAAGUUGACUGUUGCAUUGAGGUUUGUGACUAUUAGCACUAAAACUUCUCAGAGUCUACUCCAAGUAAUGGAUCUGGACUUGAUUCACAACUAUAGCCACUACUUUCAUUUACAGGUUUCCGGGAUAAUUUGAUUCUACAGCUUAUCAACUUUAUGUGUUGGGUGCCAGCAGUAGUACAGGCCCCUGUAUGUAGUAUACAAAGCCACAUUAUCUUGAAUCAGAUGAGGUAUUGUGCAACUAUUAAGGUCUGGAGGAUAAAGCUUGGCGGACAAAGCAAAGUAGUGUUCAGCUUCUAGGUGCAAUGGCUUACUGUGCUCCUCAGCAGCUGUCUCAGUGCCUUCCCAAAAUUGUGCCUAAGCUGACGGAGGUUUUAACUGAUACCCACCCUAAAGUACAGUCACAGCACAGACGGCACUACAGCAGAUGUUCAAGACUUCAGCCAGUGAUAACAUGCAGAUGCUUAUGCUGAGGCUAUGUCCAGCUGACCCGUGUCUGCAAAAAGCUUGCUUACUUUCUUGGUUGCAUAUUACAGGACUAAUGCUCCAAAUGUGGCAUCUGACAUUGAGUUUGGUAUACAAAAUUGAACUUCAGUGAGUUGGGGUCUGAAUCAUUGGAUUCUAUGUCUAGGCUCCUUAAAUUUCCUGAGUUACAUA